UUUAAUUUGCCUCCUCCUGUUGUGAAGACCCUUAGCAACAGGUAGAGCUGGGCCUUCCCACUUUAAUGCAUUCAGCUGAAAAGACAAGGGGAAACUCUGAAAUUGAGUGCCCUGAGCAUUUAAACAUUUCAACUCCCUGGAUGGAAAGUGAUGGAAUUCAUCACUAUCAUCAUCAACAGUGAUCAUCAUUUCUUGUGGAUUAAUGAGCAACAUCUGGAUGGGAUUCCUGGCAUAAGACUGUUGGACAGAUGAGCAACAGAGUACCCCUGAUGAAGAACAGCUGGCCUGGUCGAGAUGAACCACAAGCCAGCAGCCAGCAGCAGCAGCAAUUGUUCCCAGCUUGUGACACAGCUGUGGGUCACUGGAUCCUGAGCUCUCCUCUGGUCUACAUCCCCACGGGGUUUCCCUACAGAGCCCACCAUACCUGCCAC